rnacentral:rRNA from 1 species
UCGAGAAUCUUUCGCAAUGGGCGAAAGCCUGACGAUGCGACGCCGUGUGAGCGAUGAAGGCCUUAGGGUCGUAAAGCUCUUUCGCUUGGGAACAAGAGAAGCUAGUUAAUACCUAGCUAAUUUGAGGGUACCAGGUAAAGAAGCACCGGCUAACUCCGUGCCAGCAGCUGCGGUAAUACGGAGGGUGCAAGCAUUAAUCGGAUUUAUUGGGCGUAAAGGGCGCGUAGGCUGGUUUGUAAGUCAGAUGUGAAAUCCCGGGGCUCAACCUCGGAACAGCAUAUGAAACUACAUACCUAGAGUGUAGUAGGAG